UGUCUGGCCACAUCUUGACUAGGUAUUGUCUACUCUGAAGACCUUUAAUGGCUUCCCUCUUUCAUCUCCUGAGUAUGUAACUUGCAAUGGGCAGCUAUCCAGUGACUUGUUCUGAGUAAGUGUGUUCAUUAAUGUUUAUUUAGCUCUGAAGCAAGAGUGAUAUACUCCAGGACUUAGAAUAGUGCCUAAAGUGCUGCAGCCAAAGACAGAGCGGAACUAUGAAAAGUGGGCUUGGAGAUGGCAGGAGAGCUUGUCAUUGAGCCUGGCAAUUUAGCAAACUGAUGCUGAGGAUGAUUGAGGUGGGUCUACCUCAUCUCUGAAAAUUCUGGAAGGAAUGGAGGAGUCUCAACAUGUGUUUCUGACACAAGAUCCGUGGUUUGUACUCAAAGCCCAGAAUCCCCAAGUGCCUGCUUUUGAUGAUGUCUACAGAAAAUGCUGGCUGAGCUGAACACAUUUGCCCAAUUCCAGGUGUGCACAGAAAACCGAGAAUAUUCAAAAUUCCAAAUUUUUUUCUUAGGAGCAAGAAGAAAAUGUGGCCCUAAAGGGGGUUAGUUGAGGGGUAGGGGGUAGUGAGGAUCUUGAUUUGGAUCUCUUUUUAUUUAAAUGUGAAUUUCAACUUUUGACAAUCAAAGAAAAGACUUUUGUUGAAAUAGCUUUACUGUUUCUCAAGUGUUUUGGAGAAAAAAAUCAACCCUGCAAUCACUUUUUGGAAUUGUCUUGAUUUUUCGGCAGUUCAAGCUAUAUCGAAUAUAGUUCUGUGUAGAGAAUGUCACUGUAGUUUUGAGUGUAUACAUGUGUGGGUGCUGAUAAUUGUGUAUUUUCUUUGGGGGUGGAAAAGGAAAACAAUUCAAGCUGAGAAAAGUAUUCUCAAAGAUGCAUUUUUAUAAAUUUUAUUAAACAAUUUUGUUAAACCAUU
rnacentral:lncRNA from 1 species